rnacentral:tmRNA from 1 species
GGGGGCGAUCUGGAUUCGACGACGGAUACAAAGUCUCAGGUGCAUGUCGAGCGUGUAGGAUAACUCGUAAAACGAUCCUUCAAAUCAAACAUAGUUGCCAACGACGACAACUACGCUCUAGCAGCUUAAAGCCGCUAGUUCUGUCUAGCUGCUUGCUCAUGGGAAGUUAGACGGAAUCAUACUACGUGAGCUCGUGUUUUUUGCCGGUCCAAGCAACGAACACUAAAUCUCCGGACUCGCUUACCGUGGCCUCGUCCAGUUGGGCUAACGGCGAGUUAAAUUUGAGAACUGGACUAAGCAUGUAGAUCCAAGGAUCGAGUUCUGGCGGACGCGGGUUCAAAUCCCGCCGCCUCCACCA